rnacentral:rRNA from 1 species
AACUAACGCUGGCGGCGUGCCUAACACAUGCAAGUCGUACGAGAAAGCCGGCUUCGGCUGGUGAGUAAAGUGGCGCACGGGUGAGUAACGCGUGGAUAAUCUGCCCUUAAGUGUGGAAUAACGUACCGAAAGGUGCGCUAAUACCGCAUAAUGCCUGGCAACACAAGUUGUCCGGCCAAAGAAGGCCUCUGUUUACAAGCUUUCGCUUCAGGAUGAGUCCGCGUACCAUUAGCUUGUUGGUGGGUAAUGGCCUACCAAGGCUGCGAUGGUUAGCUGGUCUGAGAGGAUGAUCAGCCACACUGGAACUGAGACACGGUCCAGACUCCUACGGGAGGCAGCAGUGAGGAAUAUUGCGCAAGUGGGGGCAACCCGUGACGCAGCAACGCCGCGUGAGUGAGGUAAGGUUUUCGGACUGUAAAGCUCUGUCGAGGCGGGAAGAAGUGUACCAGUGGCUAAUAUCCAUGUAUUAUUUGACGGUACCGCGUAGAGGACG